GAAAGACGCGCAUUUGUUAUCAUCAUCCCUGUUCACAGAGAUGAAAAUUCGGCCACAGUGAUGUGGCCUUUU
rfam:Cronobacter sp. DJ34 Bact_A5_18, whole genome shotgun sequence.